CGGUCCAGACUCCUACGGAGGCAGCUGUAGGGAUUCUUCCGCAAUGGGGCGAAGCCUGGACGGAAGCAACGCCGCGUGGAAGUGGAUGAAGGUCCUUCCGGAAUCGUAAAACUCUGUUAUUAGGGAAGAACAAAUGUGUAAGUAACUAUGCACGUCUUGACGGUACCUAAUCAGAAAGCCACGGCUAACUACGUGCCAGCAGCCGCGGUAA
rnacentral:rRNA from 1 species